GACGUGAGGGCGCGAGCGUUUGUCCGGAUUUAUUGGGCGUAAAGAGCUCGUAGGCGGCUUGUCGCGUCCGUCCGUCGGAAAACCUGCGGCUCAACUGCAGGCUGGCGGUCGGAUACGGGCGAGGCGUGGAGUUCGGUAGGGGAGACUGGAAUUCCUGGUGUAGCGGUGAAAUGCGCAGAUAGUCAGGAGGAACACCGGUGGCGAAGGCGGCUCAGCUGGCCCGGUACUGGACGCCUGAGGUGACGAAAGCGUGGGGAGCAAACAGG
rnacentral:rRNA from 1 species